GAUGAACGCUGGCGGCGUGCUUAACACAUGCAAGUCGAACGAAGCAUUUAGAACAGAUUACUUCGGUUUGAAGUUCUUUAUGACUGAGUGGCGGACGGGUGAGUAACGCGUGGGUAACCUGCCUUGUACUGGGGGAUAGCAGCUGGAAACGGCUGGUAAUACCGCAUAAGCGCACAAUGUUGCAUGACAUGGUGUGAAAAACUCCGGUGGUAUAAGAUGGACCCGCGUCUGAUUAGCUAGUUGGUGAGAUAACAGCCCACCAAGGCGACGAUCAGUAGCCGACCUGAGAGGGUGACCGGCCACAUUGGGACUGAGACACGGCCCAGACUCCUACGGGAGGCAGCAGUGGGGAAUAUUGCACAAUGGAGGAAACUCUGAUGCAGCGACGCCGCGUGAGUGAAGAAGUAAUUCGUUAUGUAAAGCUCUAUCAGCAGGGAAGAUA
rnacentral:rRNA from 1 species